AAUCAACGCUGGCGGCGUGCCUAACACAUGCAAGUCGAACGAGAAAGGAGACUUCGGUCUCUGAGUACAGUGGCGCACGGGUGAGUAACACGUGACUAACCUACCCUCGAGUGGGGAAUAACUUCGGGAAACCGAGGCUAAUACCGCAUAAUACCCACGGGUCAAAGGAGCAAUUCGCUUGAGGAGGAGGUCGCGGCCCGAUUAGUUAGUUGGCGGGGUAAUGGCCCCCACCAAGACGGUGAUCGGUAUCCGGCCUGAGAGGGCGCACGGACACACUGGAACUGAAACACGGUCCAGACUCCUACGGGAGGCAGCAGUGGGGAAUUUUGCGCAAUGGGGGAAACCCUGACGCAGCAACGCCGCGUGGAGGAUGAAGUCUCUUGGGACGUAAACUCCUUUCGAUCGGGACGAUUAUGACGGUACCGGAAGAAGAAGCCCCGGCUAACUACGUG
rnacentral:rRNA from 1 species